rnacentral:rRNA from 1 species
CUUAAGCAUAUCAAUAAGCGGAGGAAAAGAAACCAACAGGGAUUGCCUCAGUAACGGCGAGUGAAGCGGCAACAGCUCAAAUUUGAAAUCUGGCCCUCUGGGUCCGAGUUGUAAUUUGCAGAGGAUGCUUUUGGCGCGGUGCCUUCCGAGUUCCCUGGAACGGGACGCCACAGAGGGUGAGAGCCCCGUCUGGUUGGACACCAAGCCUAUGUAAAGCUCCUUCGACGAGUCGAGUAGUUUGGGAAUGCUGCUCUAAAUGGGAGGUACAUGCCUUCUAAAGCUAAAUACCGGCCAGAGACCGAUAGCGCACAAGUAGAGUGAUCGAAAGAUGAAAAGCACUUUGGAAAGAGAGUUAAAAAGCACGUGAAAUUGUUAAAAGGGAAGCGUUUAUGACCAGACGUGGGCCGGUUAAUCAUCCAGCGUUCUCGCUGGUGCACUUUGCCGGUCCAGGCCAGCAUCAGUUCGCCGCGGGGGACAAAGGCGUCGGGAAUGUGGCUCCUCGGAGUGUUAUAGCCCUUCGCGCAAUACCCUGGGGCGGACUGAGGUUCGCGCUCUGCAAGGAUGCUGGCGUAAUGGUCAUCAACGACCCGUCUUGAAACACGGACCAAGGAGUCGUCUUCGUAUGCGAGUGUUCGGGUGUAAAACCCCUACGCGUAAUGAAAGUGAACGCAGGUGAGAGCUUCGGCGCAUCAUCGACCGAUCCUGAUGUUCUCGGAUGGAUUUGAGUAAGAGCAUACGGGGCCGGACCCGAAAGAAGGUGAACUAUGCCUGUAUAGGGUGAAGCCAGAGGAAACUCUGGUGGAGGCUCGCAGCGGUUCUGACGUGCAAAUCGAUCGUCAAAUAUGGGCAUGGGGGCGAAAGACUAAUCGAACCUUCUAGUAGCUGGUUUCCG